UCACUAGGCUGAUGGGCCUCGAUCCCACAAAAACUUAGUUAACAACUAAACACCCAAUCCAGCGGGCUUCAACCUAC
rnacentral:tRNA from 1 species